UACGUAGGUGACAAGCGUUGUCCGGAUUUACUGGGCGUAAAGAGCGCGCAGGCGGUCGAUCAAGUCGCGUGUGAAAGCCCCCGGCUCAACUGGGGAGGGUCACGCGAUACUGAUCGACUCGAAGGCAGGAGAGGGUAGUGGAAUUCCCGGUGUAGUGGUGAAAUGCGUAGAUAUCGGGAGGAACACCAGUGGCGAAGGCGACUACCUGGCCUGUUCUUGACGCUGAGGCGCGAAAGCUAGGGGAGCAAACGGGGAUUAAGCAUACCC
rnacentral:rRNA from 1 species